GGUAGGAUACCCAAGCGGCCAACGGGGGCAGACUGUAAAUCUGCUGGCUUUGCCUUCACAGGUUCGAAUCCUGUUCCUACCACCA
rnacentral:tRNA from 2 species